rnacentral:rRNA from 1 species
GACGUAGGGCGCGAGCGUUGUCCGGAUUUAUUGGGCGUAAAGAGCUCGUAGGCGGCUUGUCGCGUCGAAUGUGAAAACUUGGGGCUCAACUCCAAGCUUGCAUUCGAUACGGGCAGGCUAGAGUUCGGUAGGGGAGACUGGUAUUCCUGGUGUAGCGGUGAAAUGCGCAGAUAUCAGGAGGAACACCCGUGGCGAAGGCGGUUCUCUGGGACGGUACUGACGCUGAGACGCGAAAGCGUGGGGAGCGAACAGG